rnacentral:rRNA from 1 species
CCUACGGGAGGCAGCAGUGGGGAAUCUUGCACAAUGGAGGAAACUCUGAUGCAGCGAUGCCGCGUGAGUGAAGAAGGCCUUUGGGUUGUAAAGCUCUUUUGUAGGGGAAGAUAAUGACUGUACCCUAAGAAUAAGGUCCGGCUAACUUCGUGCCAGCAGCCGCGGUAAUACGAAGGGACCUAGCGUAGUUCGGAAUUACUGGGCGUAAAGCGCGCGUAGGCCGUUGAGUUAGUUAAUUGUGAAAUCCCAAAGCUUAACUUUGGAACUGCAAUUAAAACUGCUCGACUAGAGUUUGAUAGAGGAAAGCGGAAUACAUAGUGUAGAGGUGAAAUUCGUAGAUAUUAUGUAGAACACCAGUUGCGAAGGCGGCUUUCUGGAUCAACACUGACGCUGAGGCGCGAAAGUAUGGGUAGCAAAGAGGAUUAGAUACCCUCGUAGUCCAUACCAUAAACGAUGAUUGCUAGAUGUUGGAAAUUUAUUUUCAGUAUCGCAGCUAACGCAUUAAGCAAUCCGCCUGGGGAGUACGACCGCAAGGUUAAAACUCAAAUGAAUUGACGGNUUGAGAGUUGCGAGNGACACGAGGGAGAG